UCAUCGACAAGUAGUGAGGGCUGGCCUGGAUCUGCUGUGGCCACCGGUCCUCCCAUGGCAGGGACAGGGCUCCUGUGGGAUCCAGCCCCACUCUUUCUGUUGUUCGGAGCCGGGGCUCCCGGGGGAUCCCGGCGGGCGGCUCGGCUCGGCUCGGCUCGGCUCGGCUCGGCUCGGCUCGGUUUGCCCCAGCGCGGCCGGCGUGGCCCCCCCUUGCCGGGCCUCCGCCGUGCCCCGCCCGCCGCUCUCGGCGCCGCCUCCAGUUUCGUUUCCCGACUGCGGCGGCUCCGGGACGCGGAGCGGCGGGGAAUGGAGCUCCGGGGGUACCAGCGGGAGGCGGCGGCCCCGGCCCUGCGCGGCCGCAACAGCAUCGUGUGGCUGCCCACGGGCGCCGGCAAGACCCGUGUGGCCGUCCACGUCUGCCGGCGACACCUGGAGAGCCGGCGGGGCGCCAAGGUGGCCGUGCUUGUCAACAAGGUGCACCUGGUGGAUCAGCACACCGAGAAGGAGUUCCACGCGCUGCAGGACACCUUCAGGGUGACGUCCAUCAGUGGGGACACCAGCCACAAAACCUUCUUUGCCGACCUGGUGAAGAAGAGCGACGUUGUCAUCUGCACGGCGCAGAUUCUGCAGAACGCCCUGGUCAGCACGGAGGAGGACUUGCACGUGGAGCUGACAGAUUUCUCGCUGCUGGUGAUAGAUGAGUGCCACCACACGCACAAGGACGCCGUCUACAACAAGAUCAUGCUGAGAUACCUCCAGCGCAAGCUCAGUGGGGAGCAGGACCUGCCACAGGUCCUGGGGCUGACGGCAUCCCCUGGCACUGGAGGGGCAACAUCCUUUGAGGGAGCUCUGGAACACAUCCUGCAGAUCUGUGCCAACCUGGACACUGAGAAGAUCACAUCAGUGCAGGACGAGUUGCAGCACCUGCAGAGCCACGUCCCCCAACCCAAGAAGCAGUAUGACCUGUGCCAGGAGAGAGUGCAGGACCCCUUUGGUGAGCAGCUGAAGAAGGUGAUGGUGCAGAUCCAGCAGUUCAUGGAGAAGCCGGAUUUCCCGCGGGACUUCGGCACGCAGAUUUACGAGCAGCGCAUUGUGGAGCUGGAGAAGACAGCUGCAGAGAUGUUUUGUCGCAAGACGCGGGUGUGCGCCCUGCACCUGCGCAAGUACAACGACGCCUUGCUGAUCAACGACACCGUGAGGAUGGUCGACGCCUUCCAGUGCCUCGAGCAGUUCUACAGCACCGAGAGGGAUAUGAAGGACCCCACUGAGCAGUUCCUCACUGCCACGUUUGAGGAGAACAGGGCAAGACUGCAGGCGCUUGCUGGGGAUCACCGCUAUGAGAACCCCAGGCUGGCCAAGCUGGAGGGGAUCCUGCGUGAGCACUUUCAGCCCCUGGGCACUUCUCGUGGCAUCGUCUUCACCAAGACGAGGCAGAGUGCCCACAGCCUGCUCAGCUGGCUGCAGACCAUGGCCACGCUCCGUGGGCAGCACAUCAGGGCUGCCGUCCUCACCGGCGCCGGCUACAGCAACCAGACCAGGCACAUGACACAGAAUGAGCAGCAGGAUGUGAUCAAGCAGUUCCGUCAGGGAUCCCUCAACCUGCUCUUCUCCACCAGUGUGGCCGAGGAGGGCCUGGACAUCCCCGAGUGCAACAUCGUUGUCCGCUAUGGGCUGAUGACCAACGAGAUUGCCAUGAUGCAGGCCCGGGGCCGUGCCCGUGCUGAGAACAGUGUCUACUCUGUCCUUGCCAAAGCCAACACCAGGGAGGUGACCCGAGAGCUGCUCAAUGAAGACCUGGUGGAGCUCAUGAAGAGCGCGAUUCAGGCUGUGCAAGCCAUGCCUGAGCAGGAGUACUUCCAAAAGAUCCAGGAGCUGCAGCAGGUGGCCGUGGCCAGCUGGCUGAUGAAGGAGGCCAGGAUCAGCGAGCGGCGGCAGCUGCACGACCCGGCCGCCGUUCGCCUGUACUGCAUCAACUGCAACAGGGCCGUGUGCCAGGGCAGCGACAUCCGCACGGUGGAGGGCAUGCACCACGUCAACAUCAACCCCAAAUUCGGGUCGUAUUACAGAGUUUCCUCUGGGAAAAUACAGUUCCCGAGGACUUUCAAGGACUGGGAGCCCGGCUGCCGCAUUUCCUGCAAAGACUGCAGCCAGGACUGGGGGAUGGAGAUGCUGUACCGGCAGGUGAAGCUGCCUAUCCUCUGCAUCAAAAACUUUGUGGUGGAGACACCAGCAGAGAAGAGGAGGUACAAGAAAUGGGGUGCUGUGACAUUCCCCAUCAAGGCGUUUGACUACCUGGAGUACUGCUCUGCCACCUACAGCCUGUCCUUCUAGCACGGGCUGUGUUCAGAAGAGUAUUCACAGGGUAUUUUCAGGGUGCUGCAUGAAAAGGGGAGGCUUCCUCGACCCUUGGACAGAAAGCCAUGGCUCACUCCUCUCUUCCUCACUGGUCUGAGCCCCAGCAGCCCAUCCCAAGCUGGAUCCCAUGGCUGCUGAAGGAGCUUUGCUGCACCCAUGUAGGAAGGAUGAGAUGCUGGGAUUGAAAACCACCCAAACCCUUCCUUGCUCCCCAUGCUGCUGCCUUCUCCUCCACAACCCUGCCAGGAGAACCAUCCCUUUCUGUGGGUCCAGGACACAGCCCAGUGCUUCUCCACUCUGAUUUAUGAACUUGAAGUGUCUCCAUUAAAACACACACGCUAGACUGAACGGGCAGGGUGGCUGCAUCACUCGUGGCAAGGGCUGGUUGGGUACAGGAGGCUUCGAGGGGGGACAGUGCCCCAGAGCCAGAACCCACUGUGCCCUGUGCCAGAAGAACAGGGGUCCCCAGGGGACAGUGAAGCCUGUGAGGCUGCCCCGGCCCUACCCCACCCACAGACAGUGCCUGAGCGACCCGUCUCACCCACCCACCCAAGACCGAACCUUCCCGAGGCGCAGAACGAGCCGAAACCCCUCUGGGGCAGCCCAGGGGUCCCGGGGGGCUCCGGGCGUCCCCUCCGUGUCACCUGGGAGCUCCCUGGGAAGCUUUGCAUCCGAGCUGCGGGGGAGCCGCGGGGCUUGCGGCAGGAGCCGGGACGGGGCUCGGGCGCAGGACCGGGCCGGUUGUGGGAGGGGGGAUUCGGUACCGAGGGAUUGGGUAGCACAGGAUCGGGUACCGGGGAAUUCGGUACCACGGGAUCGGGUGCCGGGGGAUUCGGUACCGAGGGAUUCGAUACCGGGGCAUUCGGUACCGGGGGAUUCGGCACCGGGUGUGCAGCCCCGGGCCGCCCGUGCUGCCCCGCCGCCGGCCGCUAGAGGGAGCCCCGGGCCGGGCUGGGGGAUACCCGGGGAACCGGGAAACGAUCCGGGGGACCGGGGGAUGCCCGGGGAGCCGGGAAACGAUCCGGGGGAUGCUCGGGGAGCCAGGGGAUGUUCGGGGAGCCGGGGGAUGUUCGGGGAACCGGGAGAUGCCCGCGAUUCGGGGGGACCGGAGGAUGCCCGGGGAACCAGGGGAUGCCCGGAGAACUAGAGGAUGCCCAGGGAACCGGGAGAUGAUCCGGCGAGUACCAGGGGAUGCCCGUGGAAGCGGGGGAUGUUCUGGGAACCGGGAGGUGAUGGUGGGGGACGGGGGGAUGCUCCGGCGAGUCCAGGGGCUGCAGUGCUCACACCUGCGGCUCCACGCGUGUCCCUUCCCCGCGGGAUCCUGGCACACGUGUUGCUGCUGGCCCGGGGACGCCCCGUGCUAGCGAGCAAUGCGGAUGCUCAGCAGGUCCCGGGGAUGCUGCAGAAGGACAAGGACAUGUGCAGGGGACCAGAGGCUCCCGCAGUGUCAGGCACACAGAGCCCGCUCUCAGGUGGACAUGGCCCCGGGGAAACCAAACUCCUGUGCAUCAGAAACUGGGGGCUCAGUCACCUUGGGCCUGGCAGCAGGGAGCAGCCAAGCUGCAGCGAUGGGAGCUGUGACCUUGCUCGGUGUCCUUCAGGGCUUGCAUCCUCCUGAGCCAGCAUCCUUCAGGACUGGCAUCCUUCACAGCCCGUGGCCAAAUCCCCAGGCUGGAAAAAAGUCUGUGCCUGGAAGCACCUUUGCUUAUCUCAGCUCCACUUAAGUUGCAGCCAUCACGACUCGCUGCCUGUAAGCAGAGAUGGGCACCAUUAGCCCCGCAGCAAACAGCUGCUGCAGCAAGUUCUGCUGGCAGAAGCACCCUGAAGGAGCUUGGGAGAUUGGGAUUGUUUGCCCACGGGCUGCCAGGAUGGGCACAGCCCCAGGAGUGCCUGUGCCCUCCUGCCCCAGCACCCCCCGGGUGUGCUCACAGAGUCAGGGCAACGCAGCAAUUUAUUUU